rnacentral:rRNA from 1 species
GAUGAACGCUGGCGGCGUGCUUAACACAUGCAAGUCGAACGGAAAGGCCCUGCUUUUGUGGGGUGCUCGAGUGGCGAACGGGUGAGUAACACGUGAGUAACCUGCCCUUGACUUUGGGAUAACUUCAGGAAACUGGGGCUAAUACCGGAUAGGAGCUCCUGCUGCAUGGUGGGGGUUGGAAAGUUUCGGCGGUUGGGGAUGGACUCGCGGCUUAUCAGCUUGUUGGUGGGGUAGUGGCUUACCAAGGCUUUGACGGGUAGCCGGCCUGAGAGGGUGGCCGGCCACAUUGGGACUGAGAGACGGCCCAGUCGGCUACGGGACGCAGCAGUGGGGAAUAUUGCACAAUGGGCGGAAGCCUGAUGCAGCAACGCCGCGUGCGGGAUGACGGCCUACGGGUUGUAAACCGCUUUCGCCUGUGACGAAGCGUGAGUGACGGUAAUGGGUAAAGAAGCACCGGCUAACUACGUG